rnacentral:rRNA from 1 species
UAGGGAAUCUUCGGCAAUGGACGAAAGUCUGACCGAGCAACGCCGCGUGAGUGAAGAAGGUUUUCGGAUCGUAAAACUUUGUUGUUAGAGAAGAACAAGGACGUUAGUAACUGAACGUCCCCUGACGGUAUCUAACCAGAAAGCCACGGCUAACUACGUGCCAGCAGCCGCGGUAAUACGUAGGUGGCAAGCGUUGUCCGGAUUUAUUGGGCGUAAAGCGAGCGCAGGCGGUAUCUUAAGUCUGAUGUGAAAGCCCCCGGCUCAACCGGGGAGGGUCAUUGGAAACUGGGAGACUUGAGUGCAGAAGAGGAGAGUGGAAUUCCAUGUGUAGCGGUGAAAUGCGUAGGUAUAUGGAGGAACACCAGUGGCGAAGGCGGCUCUCUGGUCUGUAACUGACGCUGGGGCUCGAAAGCGUGGGGAGCAAACAGG